UACGAAUGGGGCAAGCGUUGUUCGGAAUCACUGGGCUUAAAGCGUGCGCAGGCGGAUUGGAAAGUCAGAAGUGAAAUCCCGGGGCUCAACCCCGGAACUGCUUUUGAAACUUCCAGUCUAGAAUCCGGGAGAGGUGAGUAGAAUUCCUAGUGUAGAGGUGAAAUUCGCAGAUAUUAGGAGGAAUACCAGUGGCGAAGGCGGCUCACUGGACCGGUAUUGACGCUCAGGCACGAAAGCGUGGGGAGCAAACAGG
rnacentral:misc_RNA from 1 species